rnacentral:rRNA from 1 species
CUGCAGUGGGGAAUAUCGCACAAUAGGGGGAGACCCUGCAUGCAGCGACGCCGCGUGAGCGAAGAAGUAUUUCGGUAUGUAAAGCUCUAUCAGCAGGGAAGAAACUGACGGUACCUGACUAAGAAGCACCGGCUAAAUACCUGCCAGCAGCCGCGAAC